CUGCUUGCUCAGCAGCACACAUACUAAAAUUGUAACAAUACAGAGAACAUCAACAUGGCCCCUGCACAAGGAUGACACAUACAUUUGUGAAGGUCCAUAUUUUUCU
ensembl:snRNA U6 U6 spliceosomal RNA